GUUUAAUGAAUGAACCCUAUUUGAUUGGUCUGGUAUGCCUAUUGCAACACACAGGAAUGAGGGAGUCUGACUUAUGGUGAAGUGGCUCAAACUGGAUACAGGCAGAAGUUUCACCAAAUACUCUGCCUAGAAUAAUGAAUUAGUUUGAUUUGCACCUGAAAUUAGGUGCAGUGGGUCCAGGAGUCAGUUCACUCGGAAAGGCUUUUGUAUAUUCUGAUGGUUCAGGAGAAAUGCAGCACUUACAUAUAUGGGGUGUAUGGCUUUAAAUCUGCUAAGGGCAGAGUCAAACUUUCUACACACCAAAUAAUCUACUUUUAACUCAAAGAUUAAACUGUAAGAGUGAUAUAGGAAAACGGUAUGAGGAACUGUUUCCUAUUUGUGAUAUAAAUUGUCACAAUUAUAUACGGUGUAUGCGUCCUUAAAUCUGUAACAAACAGAAUAAGGCAAAGUAUAUACCAAAUGAUGUACUUUAUGACAAAAAUGAAAACUUUAUGUAAUAGACAUACAGUAUCUAUGACUGUAUUCGGUAAAUAACCGUAUCACUUAAAAUGAUAAUAAAAAUGUUGGAAUAAAUGAGUAAAUAAAAUUAAUACAAAGUUUAUUGAGCAUAUUGGUUGAAUUAAAAACACUAAAAAUAUAUUCAGGUAAUACCAAUAAUUAAAA